rnacentral:rRNA from 1 species
CCUACGGGAGGCAGCAGUGAGGAAUUUUCCGCAAUGGGCGAAAGCCUGACGGAGCAAUACCGCGUGAGGGAUGAAGGAUUUUGGUCUGUAAACCUCUUUUCUCAAGAAAGAAGUUCUGACGGUACUUGAGGAAUAAGCAUCGGCUAACUCCGUGCCAGCAGCCGCGGUAAUACGGGGGAUGCAAGCGUUAUCCGGAAUGAUUGGGCGUAAAGCGCCUGUAGGUUGUUUAUUAAGUCCGUUGUUAAAGCCUAGGGCUCAACCCUAGAAAAGCAAUGGAAACUAGUAGACUAGAGUAUGGCAGGGGUAGAGGGAAUUUCUAGUGUAGCGGUGAAAUGCGUAGAUAUUAGAAAGAACACCGGUGGCGAAAGCGCUCUACUGGACCAUUACUGACACUCAGAGGCGAAAGCUAGGGUAGCAAAAGGGAUUAGAUACCCCUGUAGUCCUAGCCGUAAACGAUGGAUACUAGAUGUUGUGCAUUAUGUACAGUAUCGUAGCUAACGCGUUAAGUAUCCCGCCCGGGGAGUACGCUCGCGAGGUAGAACGUACGAAGAAGUAGUACGGCGUGAGACGUGUCCGACGGACGACGACGAGGGAGGUAGG